rnacentral:rRNA from 1 species
AGGAUGAACGCUGGCGGCGUGCUUAACACAUGCAAGUCGAACGAUGAAGGCUGGAGCUUGCUCUGGCUGGAUUAGUGGCGAACGGGUGAGUAACACGUGAGUAACCUGCCCCUGACUCUGGGAUAAGCGCUGGAAACGGCGUCUAAUACCGGAUACGAGCUUCCACCGCAUGGUGAGGAGCUAGGAAAGUAAUUUCGGUCUGGGAUGGACUCGCGGCCUAUCAGUCGUUGUUGGUAGAGGUAAUGGCUCACGAAGGCGACGGACGGGUACGCCGGCCUGGAGGCGGGGUCGACCGGCCACGACGUGGGUACUGGAGACGACGGCCACGUACUCCG